GCCCCAAUAGCACAGUGGUAGUGCGCUUGACUUGUAAUCAAGAGGUCCGUUGUUCAAUCCAGCGUUGGGGCA